rnacentral:rRNA from 1 species
GUCUACGGCCAUACCACCCUGAACGCGCCCGAUCUCGUCUGAUCUUGGAAGCUAAGCAGGGUCGGGCCUGGUUAGUACUUGGAUGGGAGACAAUUCAGGAAAUGAUAGAUGUUGGCA